AAUCCAAAUACUGUACGAGCGAAGCCGCGGGCGGCCAAGUUUAUAAAUGAAGCAAUUCGAUAUUUGGUUUCGGAACUGUACGAAUGCGUCAACGAAUCGAAGAUUUUUUAAAAGAAAAAUGCCAAGAUAUAGUAAAGUUGCCCGAAGUCUUCGUUCGUCAGCAUCGACGAUACUAUAACAAAUGUCAGUUCCUCGAAAACGCAGUUGCAAAGCAAUCAAUCUUCUUAACCCAUGCAUUACUAGUUACUCUUGUAAGAAAGGCUUAAUUUAUUACACUCCCUAGUAGUCAUCAUUUUCUCUUGUUAAGUACCAUAGUGACAUAACUAAUUACACACAAAGUUUGUAGCUCUGCGUCUUCUAAUAGCAACACACGGUCACAGACCGUAAAACAAGCGAUUAAUCGCC
rnacentral:misc_RNA from 1 species